rnacentral:rRNA from 1 species
GACGAACGCUGGCGGCGUGCCUAAUACAUGCAAGUCGAACGCAUUUUCUUUCACCGUAGCUUGCUACACCGAAAGAAAAUGAGUGGCGAACGGGUGAGUAACACGUGGGUAACCUGCCCAUCAGCGGGGGAUAACACUUGGAAACAGGUGCUAAUACCGCAUAAUUCCAUUUACCGCAUGGUAAAUGGAUGAAAGGCGCUUUUGCGUCACUGAUGGAUGGACCCGCGGUGCAUUAGCUAGUUGGUGGGGUAACGGCCUGCCAAGGCUGCGAUGCAUAGCCGACCUGAGAGGGUGAUCGGCCACACUGGGACUGAGACACGGCCCAGACUCCUACGGGAGGCAGCAGUAGGGAAUCUUCGGCAAUGGACGCAAGUCUGACCGAGCAACGCCGCGUGAGUGAAGAAGGUUUUCGGAUCGUAAAACUCUGUUGUUAGAGAAGAACAAGGAUGAGAGUGGAAAGUUCAUCCCUUGACGGUAUCUAACCAGAAAGCCACGGCUAACUACGU